CUUCGGAGGAGUUAGCGAAAUUGCAAUGUGUGCGGAUCGGCAAAAAAUGCGAAAUAACCCUUUAACCGUACAUUUGACAGAUACGCCCGCACUGACUUUUUUGUAGAUCUUAUUGAGAUACAUGUGUGUGUCAAUUUUUGUGUCAUUUUGACAAAACAUACAGGCGUGACAGUCAAUAGUGUGAAUUUUCACCUUAGGGGGCGCUAUGGAGCCAUUUUGCAUUUUCUUGUUUGGGCGACUUCGGAAUAUCGAAUUUUUCACCAGGCCCGGUUGUCCUGCCAAAUUUCAUGAGUUUUCGCCAGUGGGAAGUGGGCCAUUUUCCAGUUCAAAGGGGAGGAAAAAUAAUAACUAGGACCCCGUUGGGGCACUGGCGGGCCCGAGCCGUGUCGCCCCCCCCCCCCCCCCCAACGUGCUGCCUCCCCGUCCCAUUUGUGUCCUCUGGCCAUCGCCCUCUCUGGUAACGCCCAUCACUGCAAAGACCCUUUUCCUUCAUCGGCGUUUGCUGUUCUUCCUGCCAGUGCGUGUUGCUUUCACUUACACUUGCCACAGCCAGCCUCGUGAGUGCCUAGCCUAUUCGAUAUCACUGUCACCUACACAGGACAGUCAUUACCUUUCUAUUAAUACUUUGUGUUUUAAUUUCACAUUAAUUUCCAUAUUGUAUAAACGACUGGAAAAAACUUGAGCCCCUGCCCCUGUAUAAUCAUGUGCAUGUCUCUGUUCUAGCUCCAAGGUGAAUCUUCACUGCUCAUGUUCUCCUCAGAAGCACUCACCUCAGGUUACUGUACACAUGCACCAACUGCCUGCUUCAGGUUUGGAUGGAGCUUCAUGGUUGUCUUUUGGAGAAAUGACCAGUCAAGUUGUGUUUGAAAUUUGAUUUUUUUCAGGGGCAAAAGGAGCCUCUGCAUUCUUGUCAAAUAUGUAAAUAGCAUGUUUUUGCAGGUGCUAAAAACCAGACUCUGAGUGUGUGUGUGUGCGUGUGUGUGUGUGUGUCUGUGUGUGUGUGUGUGUGUGUGUGUGUGUGCGUUCAAGUCACAUGACAUAUUCAACCGGAUGUAGCUGCAAGACGGAGCCUCGUUGACUCCGUUGAGGGGCGGGCGCUUACGUUCUUCCUGCAAUAUGAGAAGGGAGGGAGGGACUCUCAGCAGGGAUGCAGUCUGGGACACGUAGUUGCAAACCUAGCGACUUUGUUGUUAGAUUCAAUGACUUUUCAGACCCCCUAACGACUUUUUUUUAGAAAGAAAGUGACUUUUAUCGACUUCUUCUG